rnacentral:rRNA from 1 species
UACGGGGGGGAGCAAGCGUUGUUCGGAUUUACUGGGCGUAAAGGGCGCGUAGGCGGUCGUGACAAGUCACUUGUGAAAUCUCCGGGCUUAACUCGGAAAGGUCAACUGAUACUGUGCGACUAGAGUGCGGGAGAGGCGAGUGGAAUUCCUGGUGUAGCGGUGAAAUGCGCAGAUAUCAGGAGGAACACCAAUUGCGAAGGCAGCUCGCUGGAACGUAACUGACGCUGAGACGCGAAAGCGUGGGGAGCAAACAGG